UUAAAAUAUCCAAACUAUAUGAAGAGCUCAACCACAAUCCUAGAAAAAGUUAUUUAGUUCAUCAUAUUUUCAGCAAACAUCAUUCACAAGAAAGAAACCAUAAACACAACAAAAGAAAGUGAAAGAAGAAUAAAUCUAAAGAGAGAAACAAAUUUCUGUAGCGUUUAUGAGCCUUGAUCUUCCUUUCUUUCUCCUCCUUUCUUCCUUUGUUUAUGAUUUUUCUUUCCUCUCAAAACUGCUUUAAACUCCCCUCUGUUGAAAACCCACUUGAAAUGGC
rnacentral:lncRNA from 1 species